GGUUAAGUGACUAAGCGUAUACGGUGGAUGCCUAGGCAGUUAGAGGCGAUGAAGGACGUGUUAAUCUGCGAUAAGCGUUGGCGAGGUGAUAAAACCCGUUGAGCCAACGAUUUCCGAAUGGGGAAACCCACUGGCAUAAGCCAGUAUCUUGCACUGAAUACAUAGGUGUAAGAGGCGAACCCGGGGAACUGAAACAUCUAAGUACCCGGAGGAAAAGAAAUCAACCGAGAUUCCGUCAGUAGCGGCGAGCGAACGCGGAGCAGCCCUUAAGCUGUUCUAAGGUUAGUGGAAUGUGUUGGGAAGCACAGCGAUACAGGGUGAUAGCCCCGUACACGAAAACCUUUUUUCAGUGAAAUCGAGUAGGUCGGGACACGUGACAUCUUGACUGAACAUGGGGGGACCAUCCUCCAAGGCUAAAUACUCCUAACUGACCGAUAGUGAACCAGUACCGUGAGGGAAAGGCGAAAAGAACCCCUGUGAGGGGAGUGAAAUAGAACCUGAAACCGUAUACGUACAAGCAGUGGGAGCCCUUUAUGGGUGACUGCGUACCUUUUGUAUAAUGGGUCAACGACUUACAUUUUGUAGCAAGCUUAACCGAAUAGGGGAGGCGUAGCGAAAGCGAGUGUUAACUGCGCGUUUAGUUGCAAGGUGUAGACCCGAAACCCGGUGAUCUAGCCAUGAGCAGGUUGAAGGUUGAGUAACAUCAACUGGAGGACCGAACCCACUUAUGUUGAAAAAUGAGGGGAUGACUUGUGGCUAGGGGUGAAAGGCCAAUCAAACCGGGAGAUAGCUGGUUCUCCUCGAAAGCUAUUUAGGUAGCGCCUCGAGCGAAUACCAACGGGGGUAGAGCACUGUUAAGGCUAGGGGGUCAUCCCGACUUACCAACCCUUUGCAAACUCCGAAUACCGUUGAGUACUACUCGGGAGACACACGGCGGGUGCUAACGUCCGUCGUGGAAAGGGAAACAACCCAGACCGUCAGCUAAGGUCCCAAAGUCAUAGCUAAGUGGGAAACGAUGUGGGAAGGCUUAGACAGCUAGGAGGUUGGCUUAGAAGCAGCCAUCCUUUAAAGAAAGCGUAAUAGCUCACUAGUCGAGUCGGCCUGCGCGGAAGAUGUAACGGGGCUAAGCUAUGCACCGAAGCUACGGACUUAUCUUUGAUAAGUGGUAGAGGAGCGUUCUGUAAGCGGAUGAAGGUGAAUCGUAAGGUUUGCUGGACGUAUCAGAAGUGCGAAUGUUGACAUGAGUAACGAUAAAGGGGGUGAAAAGCCCCCUCGCCGAAAGACCAAGGUUUCCUGUCCCAUGUUAAUCAGGGCAGGGUGAGUCGGCCCCUAAGGCGAGGCUGAGAAGCGUAGUCGAUGGGAAACAGGUUAAUAUUCCUGUACUUCUUGUAAUUGCGAUGGGAGGACGGAGAAGGCUAAACAAGCACAGCGUUGGUUGUCUGUGUGAAAGUAUGUAGGCCGAGUGCUUAGGUAAAUCCGGGCGCUUAAAGCUGAGAUACGAGACGAGCCACUACGGUGGUGAAGUUGUUGAUGCCCUGCUUCCAGGAAAAGUCUCUAAGCUUCAGAUUACAAGAAACCGUACCCCAAACCGACACAGGUGGUUGGGUAGAGAAUACCAAGGCGCUUGAGAGAACUCGGGUGAAGGAACUAGGCAAAAUAGUACCGUAACUUCGGGAGAAGGUACGCUGAUGACGGUGAUGGGACUUGCUCCCUAAGCUAUCGUCAGUCGCAGUGACCAGAUGGCUGGGACUGUUUAUUAAAAACACAGCACUGUGCUAAAUCGAAAGAUGACGUAUACGGUGUGACACCUGCCCGGUGCCGGAAGGUUAAUUGAUGGGGUUAGCGUAAGCGAAGCUCUUGAUCGAAGCCCCGGUAAACGGCGGCCGUAACUAUAACGGUCCUAAGGUAGCGAAAUUCCUUGUCGGGUAAGUUCCGACCUGCACGAAUGGUGUAACCAUGGCCAUGCUGUCUCCACCCGAGACUCAGUGAAAUUGAAAUCGCUGUGAAGAUGCAGUGUACCCGCGGCUAGACGGAAAGACCCCGUGAACCUUUACUAUAGCUUGGCAGUGAACAUUGAACCUACAUGUGUAGGAUAGGUGGGAGGCUUUGAAACAGCGUCGCUAGAUGUUGUGGAGCCAACCUUGAAAUACCACCCUUGUACGUUUGAUGUUCUAACCAUGGUCCCUUAUCGGGAUCUGGGACACUGUCUGGUGGGUAGUUUGACUGGGGCGGUCUCCUCCCAAAGCGUAACGGAGGAGCACGAAGGUUGGCUAAGUACGGUCGGACAUCGUACGGUUAGUGCAAUGGCAUAAGCCAGCUUAACUGCGAGAUAGACACAUCGAGCAGGUACGAAAGUAGGUCAUAGUGAUCCGGCGACUCUGUAUGGAAGGGUCGUCGCUCAACGGAUAAAAGGUACUCCGGGGAUAACAGGCUGAUACCGCCCAAGAGUUCAUAUCGACGGCGGUGUUUGGCACCUCGAUGUCGGCUCAUCACAUCCUGGGGCUGAAGUCGGUCCCAAGGGUAUGGCUGUUCGCCAUUUAAAGUGGUACGCGAGCUGGGUUUAGAACGUCGUGAGACAGUUCGGUCCCUAUCUGCCGUGGGCGUUUGAGAAUUGAGAGGGGCUGCUCCUAGUACGAGAGGACCGGAGUGGACGAACCUCUGGUGUUCGGGUUGUCACGCCAGUGGCAUUGCCCGGUAGCUAAGUUCGGAAUCGAUAACCGCUGAAAGCAUCUAAGCGGGAAGCGAGCCUCGAGAUGAGUUCUCACUUACUCUUUAAGAGUUCUGUAGGGUCGUCGAAGACUACGACGUUGAUAGGCAGGGUGUGGAAGCGCUGUGAGGCGUUGAGCUAACCUGUACUAAUUGCCCGUGCGGCUUAACCAU
rnacentral:rRNA from 1 species